GAGUGAUUUAUGAAGAAUAUAAAAGUCUGUCCACUUCUACUUUAAAUUAAAGAUCAAUGUUCUCCACCCAAGUAUUGAGGUAACUAACCCAGAAAGCAGUCAACUAUUAUUGGGUAUCCGGCUCCAUAUUUUGCGGAGGUCAGUGCGAAAUGUAAAUGCGAAACCUUUUCCAGACUCACAGACCGAGUAUUAACCAAGCGGAGGCACCUCAGAGUUCCUGAUCGCACAUCGUGAAGCUGGAUCUAAGAAUAAGUUUUAAUGAUUGAAAUACUUUACGAAAUGCUUUAAUUAUUUAAUUAUUAUUUUUGAUUAUUAUUAUUAUUAUUAAAAUAAAAUGACUUUUUGAAAUAGGUACCGGCACAAGAAAACUUAAAAGGUAUAAACCUAUACUGUACAAAGAACGGGAAAUAACGGCAAAAAACUUCGUGUUAUUUCGGGAAGACGAAAAAGAGAAAGAUUUAAAAGAUGAAUUGAAGAGAUAACGAAGGACAACGAUGAAAAUCAUUCUCUAUUGAGAAAUGAAAAUUGGUUAGACGCGAAAAUUAGGCUGUUGAAAUCGUGAUAGUACCUGUACAUUAUAUAAAAUAAACU